rnacentral:rRNA from 1 species
ACGGGAGGCAGCAGUGGGGAAUAUUGCACAAUGGGGGAAACCCUGAUGCAGCGACGCCGCGUGGGUGAUGAAAUAUUUCGGUAUGUAAAGCCCUAUCAGCAGGGAAGAUAAUGACGGUACCUGACUAAGAAGCCCCGGCUAAAUACGUGCCAGCAGCCGCGGUAAUACGUAUGGGGCAAGCGUUAUCCGGAUUUACUGGGUGUAAAGGGAGCGCAGGCGGUUUUGUAAGUUGAGUGUGAAAGCCCGGGGCUCAACCCCGGGACUGCACCCAAAACUGCAGGACUAGAGUGUCGGAGGGGCAAGCGGAAUUCCUAGUGUAGCGGUGAAAUGCGUAGAUAUUAGGAGGAACACCGGUGGCGAAGGCGGCUUGCUGGACGAUAACUGACGCUGAGGCUCGAAAGCGUGGGGAGCAAACAGGAUUAGAUACCCUGGUA